rnacentral:rRNA from 1 species
GACGAACGCUGGCGGCGUGCUUAACACAUGCAAGUCGAACGGAAAGGCCCUGCUUGCAGGGUGCUCGAGUGGCGAACGGGUGAGUAACACGUGGGUGAUCUGCCCCUUACUUUGGGAUAAGCCUGGGAAACUGGGUCUAAUACUGGAUAGGACCAUGCUGUAGGUGGUGUGGUGGAAAGAUUAGUUUCGGUAAGGGAUGAGCUCGCGGCCUAUCAGCUUGUUGGUGGGGUAAUGGCCUACCAAGGCGUCGACGGGUAGCCGGCCUGAGAGGGUGGACGGCCACAUUGGGACUGAGAUACGGCGCAGACUCCUACGGGAGGCAGCAGUGGGGAAUAGUGCACAAUGGGCGCAAGCCUGAUGCAGCGACGCCGCGUGGGGGAUGACGGCCUUCGGGUUGUAAACUCCUUUCAGCCAUGACGAAGCCCUUGUGGUGACGGUAGUGGUAGAAGAAGCACCGGCUAACUACGUG